rnacentral:rRNA from 1 species
CGGACGGGUGAGUAACGCGUGAGGAACCUGCCUCAAAGAGGGGGACAACGGUUGGAAACGACUGCUAAUACCGCAUAAGCCCACGGCUCGGCAUCGAGCAGAGGGAAAAGGAGCAAUCCGCUUUGAGAUGGCCUCGCGUCCGAUUAGCUAGUUGGUGAGGUAACGGCCCACCAAGGCGACGAUCGGUAGCCGGACUGGGAGGUUGAACGGCCACAUUGGGACUGAGACACGGCCCAG